GUUUGCUCCCCAUGAGGCGUCUAAAGCAACUCCAAGUUCUCCUGUCUCUGUGAGAAGGCUAUGGUCUGGAUGCCUGACCUGAAUGCCCAUGAGGAUGUGGAUUACCUCUUUGCUGAGGGAGACUGAGAGGUUCAGAGGCUUGUCGGACAUGAAGAACUGCCAGGAUGCCUCAGCACAGGGCUGGGGACCCAUCUCAGGAGGGGCAUGCUGCACUUUCCGGAUCAGCAACCGCACAGAGCUCCUGAGGAGAAAAGGUCCAGGGUUCCUGGAACUGAAUGCUGAACCAGCAAUGCCCUCAAGGAUCCCCUUCAUCUUGUCAGACUCAGCUUAGCCUCCUCUCAGGAGGGUCUGUAUCAUGGCUUCAGAUGACUUGUGUGACCAGGCUUUGGAGCGCCAUGCAACUGUGACACACUGUCACUGUCACAAGCAUCAAAAGCACUGAGCUCGGGGUCAGAUCCACAGCAAAGCACACAGCACUGUGAGAUGUGAAUGCUGAGUAUGAGCAGAAUGUGGGAAGGGAUGGGAUGGAUGGAGAC